GCCUCAUCAGUGGAAAAACUGCAAACAUAGACAUUAAAAAUGGAUGGAAGCAGGUGUGACUAUUGUUUAUGGUGGGUGACUACAAACAUUGCUAUAUGUCCCUGUUCUGGAGAAUGUACAUGUUGUCUUCAGGCAAGUAAUUAUCUUAAUACAUUUGAUACAGUGUCAGAAAUCCCAUAUGCAGGGUUUUUCACCAAAGUGUGAAUUGC